rnacentral:rRNA from 1 species
GAUGAACGCUGGCGGCGUGCCUAAUACAUGCAAGUCGAGCGGACGGACGAGGAGCUUGCUUCUCUGAUGUUAGCGGCGGACGGGUGAGUAACACGUGGAUACCCUACCUAUAAGACUGGGAUAACUUCGGGAAACCGGCGCUAAUCCCGGAGAAUAUUUUGAACCGCGUGGUUCAAAAGUGAAAGUCGGUCUUUCUGUCACUUAUCGAUGGAUCCGCGCUGCAUUAGCUAGUUGGUAAGGUAACGUCGUACCAAGGCAACGAGGCAUAGCCGACCGGAGGGGGUGAUCGGCCACACGGGAACUGAGACACGGUCCAGACGCCUACGGGAGGCAGCAGUAGGGAAUCGGCCGCAAUGGGCGAAAGCCUGACGGAGCAACGCCGCGUGAGAGAUGAAGGUCUUCGGAUCGUAAAACUCUGUUAUGAGGGAAGAACAUAUGUGUAAGUAACUGUGGACAUCGUGAUGGUACCUAAUCAGAAAGCCACGGCUAACUACGUG